rnacentral:rRNA from 1 species
CGAUGGGAAACAGGUUAAUAUUCCUGUACUCGGUGUUACUGCGAAGGGGGGACGGAGAAGGCUAUGUUGGCCGGGCGACGGUUGUCCCGGUUUAAGCAUGUAGGCGGAUGUUCCAGGUAAAUCCGGAGCGUCACUAACGCUGAGGUGUGAUGACGAGGCACUACGGUGCUGAAGUGACAAAUGCCCUGCUUCCAGGAAAAGCCUCUAAGCAUCAGGUAACAUCAAAUCGUACCCCAAACCGACACAGGUGGUCAG